rnacentral:lncRNA from 1 species
GGGGCUGGUGAUAGGUGUUUGGUUCAUGAGGGUAGAUCCCUUAUGAAUGGCUUGGUGCUGUCUUUGUGGCAAUAAGUGAGUUCUCACUAUCUGAGUUCACACAAGAGCUGGUUGUUUAAAAGAGCCUGUCAUCUCUUUUGCUCCCUUUCUCACCAUGUGAUAUGCUGCUCCCCUUCUCUUCUGCCAUGAAGAAAAGCUUCCUGAGGCCUUCACCAGAAGCAGAUGCUGGUGCCGUGCUUCUACAGCCUGCAGAACUGGAAUGUGUUCCAAGACCCCCAGUGGAUGCCUGAAACUGAGAAUAGUACUGGACCCUGUAUAUACUGUGUUUUUUCUUUCCUUAUUGAGAACUUUUAUGUUUUCACUUAAAGGAAGGACUUUACAGCUUCUCUUUCGCAUAUCCAAAUUGCCAGCAUCACCGCUCUUGCACUCCAAGCCAUUAUUAAGUAAAGUAAAGAACACAAACACUGUGAUACUGCUACACUUGAUCUGAUAACCAAGAAGUCUACUAAGUGACUAACAGGUGGGUAGCAUAUACAGCAUAGAUACACUGGACAAAGGGAGGACUCACAUCCUGGGCAAGAUGGAGCAGAAUGGCAGAGUUCAUCAUGCUGCUCAAAAUGAUGUGCAAUUUAAAACUAAUGAAUUAUUUCUGGAAUUUUUCAGUUAAUAUUUUUGGACAUGAGGUGACUGCAGUUAACUAAAACCAUGGAAAGCAAACCCAUAGAUAAAGGGAUACUAUGGUAUGUUUUCAUUUUCUAUAAUAAAAAGUUAAAAAGGAAAAAGACACCAUAGGAAAAUAAAAGACAAGUCACAAACUGGGAAAAGAUCUUUGCAACACAUGUGACUAUCGAAAGGAUUAGUAUUCACACUGUGUAAAGAACCACUACAAUUCAAUGAAAAUGAAGAUAAUGCUUUCCACCCCAAACAGGCAAUUCAUACAGGAGAAAACCUGAAAAGAUACCCAACCACAAGGAAAUACCAUUUCACACCCACCAGAUGAACAAAAAUGUAAAAGUCUGGCAAUAUUACAAUUCUUAUACAUUGCUGGUUGGAGUAUGAAUUGAUAUAAUCAAUUUGGGAAACAAUAUGGUAUUAUCUAGUAGCUGAAGAUGCACAUCUUCUGUGACCCAGGAAAAAUGUAUAGCAGGAGACAUGAGCAAGAAAAUUCAUAAUGGCAUUUAUAACAGUAAAACGUGGAAGAAAAUCCACUGUCCAUCAACAGUAGAGUGAUUAAAUACAU